GUGCAAGCGGUACUCGGGAUUCACUGGGGGUAAAAGAGCAUGUAGGCGGAUAAAUAAGUUGAAAGUGAAAUCCUAUAGCUUAACUAUAGAACUGCUUCCAAAACUGUUGAUCUAGAAUAUGGGAGAGGUAGAUGGAAUUUCUGGUGUAGGGGUAAAAUCCGUAGAGAUCAGAAGGAAUACCGAUUGCGAAGGCGAUCUACUGGAACAUUAUUGACGCUCAGAUGCGAAAGCGUGGGGAGCAAACAGGAUUAGAUACCCUGGUAGUCCACGCCCUAAACGAUGUACACUAGUUGUUGCUAUACUAGAUAUGGCAGUAAUGCAGUUAACACUUUAAGUGUACCGCCUGGGGAGUACGGUCGCAAGAUUAAAACUCAAAGGAAUAGACGGGGACCCGCACAAGCGGUGGAGCAUGUGGUUUAAUUCGACGAUACGCGAAAAACCUUACCUGGCCUUGACAUAGUAAGAACUUAUAAGAGAUUAUUUGGUGCUAGCUUGCUAGAGCUUACAUACAGGUGCUGCACGGCUGUCGUCAGCUCGUGUCGUGAGAUGUUGGGUUAAGUCCCGCAACGAGCGCAACCCACGUGAUUAGUUGCUAACGGUUUGGCCGAGAACUCUAAUCAGACUGCCUUCGUAAGGAGGAGGAAGGUGUGGACGACGUCAAGUCAUCAUGGCCCUUACGGCCAGGGCUACACACGUGCUACAAUGGGAUAUACAAAGAGCAGCAAUACCGCGAGGUGGAGCAAAUCUAGAAAAUAUCUCCCAGUUCGGAUUGUUCUCUGCAACUCGAGAACAUGAAGUUGGAAUCGCUAGUAAUCGUAGAUCAGCAUUGCUACGGUGAAUACGUUCCCGGGUCUUGUACUCACCGCCCGUCACACCAUGGGAGUUGAUUUCAUUCGAAGCGGGGAUGCUAAAGUAGCUACCUUCCACAAUGGGAUUAGCGACUGGGGUGAAGUCGUAACAAGGUAGCC
rnacentral:rRNA from 1 species